rnacentral:rRNA from 1 species
CAGCCGCCGCGGGAAUACGAAGGGUGCAAGCGUUAAUCGGAAUUACUGGGCGUAAAGCGUGCGUAGGCGGUUUGUUAAGUCUGUUGUGAAAUCCCCGGGCUCAACCUGGGAAUGGCAAUGGAUACUGGCAAGCUAGAGUGUGUCAGAGGAUGGUGGAAUUCCCGGUGUAGCGGUGAAAUGCGUAGAGAUCGGGAGGAACAUCAGUGGCAAAGGCGGCCAUCUGGGACAACACUGACGCUGAGGCACGAAAGCGUGGGGAGCAAACAGGAUUAGAUACCCGCGUAGUCCCUGUCUCUUAUAC